rnacentral:rRNA from 1 species
GAUGAACGCUGGCGGCGUGCUUAACACAUGCAAGUCGAACGAGAAAUGGAGACGGAAACCUUCGGGCGGAAGGCUUCAUUUCGAGUGGCGGACGGGUGAGUAACGCGUGGGUAACCUGCCUCAUACAGGGGGAUAACAGUUGGAAACGACUGUUAAUACCGCAUAAGACCACAGCACCGCAUGGUGCGGGGGUAAAAACUCCGGUGGUAUGAGAUGGACCCGCGUUCGAUUAGCCAGUUGGCGGGGUAACGGCCCACCAAAGCGACGAUCGAUAGCCGAUCUGAGAGGAUGACCGGCCACAUUGGGACUGAGACACGGCCCAAACUCCUACGGGAGGCAGCAGUGGGGAAUAUUGCAAAAUGGGGGAAACCCUGAUGCAGCGACGCCGCGUGAGUGAAGAAGUACUUCGGUAUGUAAAGCUCUAUCAGCAGGGAAGAAAAUGACGGUACCUGAGUAAGAAGCCCCGGCUAACUACGUG